rnacentral:rRNA from 1 species
UACGUAGGGGGCAAGCGUUAUCCGGAUUUACUGGGUGUAAAGGGAGCGUAGACGGUUAUGUAAGUCUGGAGUGAAAUCCCAUGGCUUAACCAUGGAACUGCUUUGGAAACUGUGCAGCUGGAGUGCAGGAGAGGUAAGCGGAAUUCCUAGUGUAGCGGUGAAAUGCGUAGAUAUUAGGAGGAACACCAGUGGCGGAGGCGGCUUACUGGACGGUAACUGACGCUGAGGCUCGAAAGCGUGGGGAGCAAACAGG